rfam:Triticum aestivum genome assembly, contig: Triticum_aestivum_CS42_TGACv1_scaffold_223611_3B
UUUAUACUUCCUCCGUCUUAAAAUUCUUGUCUUAGAUUUGUCUAGAUACGGAUGAUUUGUCUAGAUACGGAUGUAUCUAACACUAAAAUAUAGCUAGAUACAUCCGUAUUUAGACAAAUCUAAGACAAGAAUUUUAGGACGGAGGAAGUACUAG